GGUGCGUGUGGGCUUAUGUUGAAGGAAUGCCUUUUUUAUUUGAUAAAAGAAAAACCAUAAAACCUCAGGUCUGAUGGGACCAGCUUGAUUUCAGCUGAAUCGGGGAACUUACGAUUUUGACCCUAAAAUUUUAGUCCACUCCAGCCGUUCAGAUUUUGUCAUUCUCUGUUUUUCAGUGUAGCCUUUUCUGAGGUUUACUUUUUUUAUUUAAAAUUUAACGGGAAGGAGGGGACCCCUCUUGCAUGGAUACAAGGGUUUUUCACAUUUUCCACUCCUAAGAAUCAACCCUCUAUGACUCGCCCAUGCAUCAUGCCAUGACGCGUUUACUGCCCAUUAUAUAAUGAUGAGAUGCUAAUUUUUCAGGUUGCCUUUUCAGAUUCCAUAGUGAUCUUAAAAGACUCAAGCUGUUUUAGUCAAGUAAAAAAGUUGUCCUUUUGUGAAGCUACUCAAUUGAUUCAGAUCUAUUCAUAAAACCUAUUCGAGCUCGUGAUGCAAUCGUCUUAACAGGUUACAUAUUUAUUUUGCCUCAGGUUCAAGCCAGAGUGAUUGUUCGCGGUCUUCUUGUUCGAAAUGCUCGCAUGGUGACAGUGCCAGUGAACAUUCGGACGGAAAUGUUCCUCUUCUAGCUCAACUUCCACCGCCUUUGCCUAUUGUCCGCCCCCCUCCUACUCCGUCCUCAUCAUCAACCGUCCAAAACUCACACAAGCAGAAAGUCAAGUUUUCAGACACUGUUACGCACAUAACUGUACCAAAUAUCUCACCUCAACCUGAAAUAAAUAGUGAGGAAUUGAUCGAUGUACAUUCCAACAGGAAUUUCACUUCAAACUCAUUGAAUUUCCAACAAUCACCAUCGUCAAGCUCUAAACAGGAUCCUCUACCAAAAGUCACUAUACCAUUGACUAAAGAUUAUCUGAAGCAUUUGACUAAGUCAGCCAUCAAGACAAGUCGUGAUGAUGGAGAAAGCAAAAAUAUAAAGGUUGUUCACUUUGGUGUCGUAUGAAUGUUUCAUCUGCUUUCAUAUCGAAAUUCGAGCCAUUUAAACAGUAUUUUUUUUAAAAACUAUUUGCCAUUUUACUUAUUAGUUAAGUGUUAACAAUCAAUUGUUUUUGUAUUCCUUGUUGACUGUUGAUUUUAUCAUGAUGAGUAUUUUCCCUGAGCGGACGGAAGGUUUGUAAUUGGUUUUAAAUUACAAUUUCCUUCAACAAUUACAAAAACUAUUCGUUCAGUGAAGUUCACUUGUGUCUCAAAGAUUUGUAAUCAUUGCUCACUCUCCAUAAAUUUUGCUGAGUAAGUCUUUUGCCGUCCAGUUUUUUUUAUUAUUACCCAUUGUGCUUUAGAUUUUAUUUGUAACUGCAAUUUUUCGCUUAAAUAGUAUGUAUUUUUUAUAGAAAAGUAUCUGGCUUUCAAAAAAAUGGAUGGGCUCUAUUUUAAAUGAAAGACAAAGGGAUAGAGGAAUCUGAGAAACCCAAACAUAACAAACAGAAACAUGAACAAGUGCUUUAAAAGAAUGAUUUGAAGAUAAAUAUUUUUUUUUUUUUCAUUCAUCUUGGGAUUUUGGCAUGGUCUAAUAGGUGUGGGAUAUAUUGCAUCAAUUAAGUAAAUCUGAAAAAAAUUGAUCCCUCAAUCAAAUGUGACAUUUUUUCAUAGUCAAAUUCUUUUUCCAUCUCUCCGAACUUUGUAACUUUUUUUCGUUAAGAAUAACUCAUCAGACUCAUGUGCUGAUCAAUCAUAAUUUUUUUGGCUAGAAUAAGAUAAUCUGCUAAGAUUUUUUACUUUACUGAUGAUGCAGUGUACCUAUCGUACACCAGUUCUACCAUGUCAAGAACCUAGGACAAAUCACCCAAAUGCAAUGAAGGUGUACUUUAAACCGGAUCUCAAAAUGUUCCUUUGCCCAAUGAUUUUCUAGAAACGCCAAGGAAUUGAUCCUCACAUUGACCAGUUUAAGUGCCUAUUUUUGUAAAUUGAGUUGAUUUUUUAACAAAUCGGUACCUAAAAAAGUUCUUAAUGCAUUGACUCUGAAGUUUUGUCUUGCGCUUAGUGUUUUGUAAGAGGCCUUGUGUCUCCUCUCCCUCACUUCUAAUCAUCUUGAUUGCUUAUUAUUAUAAAUGUAAAGAAUAUGGGUGCCUUCUCAAUUUGCCUUUUUAGGUACUGUUGCAUGUGCUGAGAAAAUUUUCAAAAUGAAAAACCAAUUUCUUUCAUGUAUAUUAGAACUUAUACCAAUUUGAGACACUUAAAUUCAAGAGACAUAGAGUUGAAUUUGUUGAAACUUUGAAUAUUUAGUAUAUGUUAUAACAUGCCUGAAAAAAACACUUUAAUUUAAUUUGAAUCGCAGCAACACAACCUUCUCCUACGGCAAUUGUGAAAACUUAAAGUAUUAUUUUAUCUAACCUAACUCAUCACAUAUGUACUCAAACUUUAUCAGUAUGUGUGUUACUCUAUCUGUGAUAUUUACGUCCAUAUUGUUAAUUUAAUUUUAGUACCUUAUUCAUCUUAAAUUUAUUUUUAUAUCUAUUUAUAUUUAUGGCUCAUAAUAAAUUCUAACUUUUUUUUACCUACUUUUAUGUUCAAGCUCUAAUUUUUCUUUCCCCUAAAUUUCUUUGAGCGUAUUUUAAAGCUUGCAGAUCUAUUUAAUUCCUACAUUAUGUAUCAGCUGUCAAAAAGCCUAGUCCUUGGAUUAGAUGCUGUAAGUUUAUAAAGCGCACAAUAUUGUAGUUAUCAAACUCUUCAACUUUCAUUGUCAUAUCAGUGGACUGGGCUUUGUAAGAGAGUAUGAAUAGUAGUAGCAAACAUGAGUGGAUGCCCUCUUAAUUUCUCAUUCCUAAGCUCUCAAAGACUGUAUUUGCUGAUGAUUGAAGUUCUCCUAGAAAUGUAUAAGAUUAACUUUGGUGGUUCAGUCUUUGAUUAUAUGUUGCUACCUAACAGUACCUUAGUGAGGAAGCCGCCAUCGAGUGUGUAUGCAUUGACUUUCCAACGAAUGACCCAUAGGAAUCCCAUAUUAUU
rnacentral:lncRNA from 1 species